rnacentral:rRNA from 1 species
CAGUCGCCGCGGGAAUACAGAGGGUGCGAGCGUUAAUCGGAUUUACUGGGCGUAAAGCGUGCGUAGGCGGCUUUUUAAGUUGGAUGUGAAAUCCCUGAGCUUAACUUAGGAAUUGCAUUCGAUACUGGGAAGCUAGAGUAUGGGAGAGGAUGGUAGAAUUCCAGGUGUAGCGGUGAAAUGCGUAGAGAUCUGGAGGAAUACCGAUGGCGAAGGCAGCCAUCUGGCCUAAUACUGACGCUGAGGUACGAAAGCAUGGGGAGCAAACAGGAUUAGAUACCCGGGUAGUCCCUGUCUCUUAUAA